UACGUAGGUGACAAGCGUUGUCCGGAUUUACUGGGCGUAAAGAGCGCGCAGGCGGUCGUUCAAGUCGAGUGUGAAAGCCCCCGGCCCAACUGGGGAGGGUCAUUCGAUACUGAUCGACUCGAAGGCAGGAGAGGGAAGUGGAAUUCCCGGUGUAGUGGUGAAAUGCGUAGAUAUCGGGAGGAACACCAGUGGCGAAGGCGACUUCCUGGCCUGUUCUUGACGCUGAGGCGCGAAAGCUAGGGGAGCAAACGGG
rnacentral:rRNA from 1 species